GUGCCAGCCGCUGCGGUAAUACGUAGGGUGCGAGCGUUGUCCGGAAUUAUUGGGCGUAAAGAGCUCGUAGGCGGUUUGUCGCGUCUAUCGUGAAAACUGGAGGCUUAACUUUCAGCGUGCGGUGGAUACGGGCUGACUUGAGUGUGGCAGGGGAGACUGGAAUUCCUGGUGUAGCGGUGAAAUGCGCAGAUAUCAGGAGGAACACCGGUGGCGAAGGCGGGUCUCUGGGCCAUUACUGACGCUGAGG
rnacentral:rRNA from 1 species